GAUGAACGCUGGCGGCGUGCCUAAUACAUGCAAGUCGAGCGAACAGAUGAGGAGCUUGCUCCUCUGACGUUAGCGGCGGACGGGUGAGUAACACGUGGAUAACCUCCCUAUAAGACUGGGAUAACUUCGGGAAACCGGAGCUAAUACCGGAUAAUAUAUUGAACCGCAUGGUUCAAUAGUGAAAGACGGUUUUGCUGUCACUUAUAGAUGGAUCCGCGCCGCAUGAGCUAGUUGGUAAGGUAACGGCUUACCAAGGCAACGAUGCGUAGCCGACCUGAGAGGGUGAUCGGCCACACGGGAACUGAGACGCGGUCCAUACUCCUACGGGAGGCAGCAGUAGGGAAUCUGCCGCAAUGGGCGAAAGCCUGACGGAGCAACGCCGCGUGAGUGAUGAAGGUCUUCGGAUCGUAAAACUCUGUUAUUAGGGAAGAACAAAUGUGUAAGUAACUAUGCACGUCUUGACGGUACCUAAUCAGAAAGCCACGGCUAACUACGUG
rnacentral:rRNA from 1 species